CCGAUUCUCACAUAUAUGAUAUAUUAUUUAAUAAACUUGCCCCUAAUUUGUCUUUUUAUAUUUUAACUAUAGCAUGUAAUAAAAUUUUGCAAAUUUUAAGAGAAAAAAAAUUUGUCCCCAGGGGUGAUUUCCCUCCUGUUACCACUGGGUUUUUUUUUACCUGUGGAAACGUUUACAAGACCAAGAGUUAUUUUCCCAUUAUGUAUUGUGAAGAGCAUCAUUCCCUGAAUGUAUUAGUACAAAGAAAUAGUUGAAAAGGCGGCCAGGUUUGAAAAUUCAAGCCCAUCCAAGGUAAGAAUUUAUAGAAAAAUACUUAUUGGUGUUCUAUCCUGUUAUAGCCUUUUUUUUACACUUUCUGAGAAUAUUUUUAAGUGUGCACCACAACAUUAAGUGUGUUUUUAUAUCAUCUUUUUAAAAGUUAUAUGUCACAGGAAAUACACUUACAUUUAAUGUGAUAAAAAGGACAAAAACUAUCGCGUAAUUCCUUUCUGUUACGUUCUGUCAUGUUACCUGAUCAAAAGUAACAGCAUAACCAUCAUCAGUAACAGGAAGGAUGUUCAAGACAAUUUCACUGAAGAAUCGAACAGUUAAUCUACUAUAUGCCAACCAUUUCAUUUAAUAUAAGUUAUCACCACCAUAUCAAAUAAAUUUCAAAAUAAUAUACAGUAUAUUGAAUAAAAAAAAUAGGUUUUUUGCUUUUGAUAACAGCAGAGAACAUUGUGCAAUUCUAGUAUAGUAGAUAGUAACAGAAAGGAAUUUAUUUUAGAAUUUUUCAUUACCUAGGCAGAUUUUUCAUCUUGCAAAUACAGUUUCAAAGGAUAAAUGACAUUGUUUGCUGUUAUCUUCCAAUUGUGACCAAUUUAAAAUGAUUUAUUUUUCUUAAACUUUAAAAUAAAGCAGAAAAAUCCUUUCUGUUACCAACUCUGUCCUGUUACCGUUGUCCUGUUACUCAAGAUUCUUUCAUGUUACCGACAUAUCUGACUAUAUUUAAGUAUAUUUCUAAACCUUUUGUAUUGCAAAUGCUAAAAUCAAUAAUUGGCAUUUGAUAAACUAUUGCAGGAUAUACUAGUAAACCACAAAUAGUGUCUUAAACUUAUUCCUUAUUCCCAUUAGAAACUUUUUAAAAUUGAUUCACUUUGGUAACAGGAAAGAACUGGAUUUUUUUUGUACCAUUUUUUAAAUUGCCAUUGUUUCCUUAUUAAACAAUUAUUUGAAUUACAGACAACAGUUCCUAGAUCCCCAAUGUGUGUUCUUCGAUUUGUGCUAUUAAAAUACCGGGUCUAAAGAAUUUUUU
rnacentral:lncRNA from 1 species